AGUAGGCCCAAAAUUAGCCAACAAAUAACUUUUUACAAAUAAUUCUACCUAAUAUCCAAAUUUAUAUCUCUAAUAUACAUAACUUUAACACAAGGAAUAUUUAUAAUAACCACACAUAUAAACAAAACCUGUCUAGAACUAGUACCAUUAAUCUAACUACACUACUUACAAACACUAAACACUCACGCAACCUAUUUAAUACUACCCAUAUACAUAAAAGGAACUCGGCAAACCACAAGGCUCCGACUGUUUAACAAAACAUUGCCUCAUGAUAUAUAAUAUGAGGUAAAUCCUGCCCAGUGAACUAUACUUAAACGGCCGCGGUAUCCUGACCGUGCAAAGGUAGCAUAAUAACUCGCCUCCUAAUUAGAGGCUAGAAUGAAUGGACAAACGAAAGCCAAGCUGUCUCCUAUGUAUUUAUGUAAACUAACCUUCAGGUGAAAAGGCCUGAAUUAUUCUAAAGGACAAAAAGACCCUGUCGAACUUUACUCAAUUUAAAUAAUUUAUAAUACACUACAAUUACUACAUAACUUAAACGAGUUUAGUUGGGGCGACCAAGGACCACUAUCUAAACGUCCUGCUAAAAAAGACUCAAUGUCAAACAAAUGAUCCAUAAUACCAUGAACAACAAACUAAGCUACCGCAGGGAUAACAGACUAAUCCUCCUAAAGAGCCCAAAUUGCCAGGAGGGAUUGGCACCUCGAUGUUGGCUUAGGAAAUCUAUUGAGCGCAGCAGCCCAAUAAAGAAGGUUUGUUCAACCUAUAAAUUCCUACGUGAU
rnacentral:rRNA from 1 species